UUCACGUAAUGUUAAAACAUCCGUAUAAUCUUGACAAUAUGGGUCAAGAGUUUCUACCAAGGUACCUUAAAUCUUUGACUAUGGAUGAAUCUAAGUUAAUA
rnacentral:ncRNA from 2 species